rnacentral:piRNA from 1 species
UUUUCACAUGCUAUGAUACUCAAGUUUCC